rnacentral:rRNA from 1 species
GACGAACGCUGGCGGCGUGCCUAACACAUGCAAGUCGAGCGAAUGAAGUUCUUUCGGGAAUGGAUUUAGCGGCGGACGGGUGAGUAACACGUGGGCAACCUGCCUCAUAGAGGGGAAUAGCCUUCCGAAAGGGAGAUUAAUACCGCAUAAGAUUGUAGUACCGCAUGAUACAGCAAUUAAAGGAGCAAUCCGCUAUGAGAUGGGCCCGCGGCGCAUUAGCUAGUUGGUGAGGUAACGGCUCACCAAGGCGACGAUGCGUAGCCGACCUGGGAGGGUGAUCGGCCACAUUGGGACUGAGACACGGCCCAGACUCCUACGGGAGGCAGCAGUGGGGAAUAUUGCACAAUGGGGGAAACCCUGAUGCAGCAACGCCGCGUGAGUGAUGACGGCCUUCGGGUUGUAAAGCUCUGUCUUCAGGGACGAUAAUGACGGUACCUGAGGAGGAAGCCACGGCUAACUACGUGCCAGCCGCCGCAGUAACAC